rnacentral:rRNA from 1 species
AUUAAACGCUGGCGGCAUGCCUUACACAUGCAAGUCGAACGGUAGCGCGGGGCAACCUGGCGACGAGUGGCGAACGGGUGAGUAAAGCAUCGGAACGUGCCCUGGAAUGGGGGAUAACGUAGCGAAAGUCACGCUAAUACCGCAUAUUCUGUGAGCAGGAAAGCAGGGGAUCGCAAGACCUUGCGUUCUGGGAGCGGCCGAUGUCGGAUUAGCUAGUUGGUGGGGUAAAAGCCUACCAAGGCGACGAUCCGUAGCGGGUCUGAGAGGAUGAUCCGCCACACUGGGACUGAGACACGGCCCAGACUCCUACGGGAGGCAGCAGUGGGGAAUUUUUGGGACAAUGGGCGGAAGCCUGAUCCAGCCAUGCCGCGUGAGUGAAGAAGGCCUGGUGU